rnacentral:lncRNA from 1 species
GCCCUUUAGUGUGUGUGCUCGCAGGAAUCGAUAUAAAAUCGACCGAAUUCGGCUGAAAACGGCCAACCCGAGGCAGACCGCCGCCGCAAGCAGCGUCACCGUCACCGAAGCACGACAGAGCCGCCGUGCCAGAUUUUUAAAAUUGGCCGAGUAGGCCAUGAGACUGAUUUUGGGUUUAUUUGGGACAUUUGUAGGUACUAUAAGUGCGUUUCAGUUCCCGAAAAAAAAUUCAGGAAAUCCAUAGACCACCUGUAGGUGCAGUAAAU